UCAGCAAUCUGGUCCUGCCCAAGAGAAAGAGCACAUUCUUUCUUUCAAAUCACUAAGAUGUCACCUAGCAAAAAUCUUUCAAAGGACAUUAAAAUAGAAUCUCAGUGAUCUAAAAACCACUUUGUCCAAAGAAAGCCUCUAAUUGUCUCUCACCCAGUGUCAUUAAUUCUAUAUAUCUUUUCCAUAUUGAAAAUUAGUAAUCAUAGACAAAUAGCCAUAUUUAGCAUCACAAAGCUGGCUCUUCAUUUUGGUGAAAUAAACUUAGAGCCAUAGACACAGUGCCAGACAAGAAAGCUAAAGCCCCCACCAUUCUGCCAUGUAGUUACCUCUGCCUACUCCUGAAAUUCCCAUGAUUAGAGUCACAAUGGAUUAGAUAACAACAAUGAGACUUGUCAUCUCCAAAAGGCUCCAGCAAUUCAGUUGACAGAGUGUACCAGGAGCCCUCUGACAUUAGCACAAAUUAGCAGACCAGAUUAACCAGUUGUCCCCUCAGGUCCAAGAGGAUAAGAUACACAAGGAGAACAUGGCCAGGACAAGAUGUGAGGCUGGGAACCAGAGAGAGAGAGAGAGAACCUCAAUUUGAUAAGCAAGGAAGUGGGAAGAAAUACCCAGCUUAGCAAGUAUACAGGAUGAACACCAAAGAGAAGACAGAAGCAGACUUCUGAAGGAAGAGAAGGUGGAAACUGUUGGACUACUGGUUCUGCUGGAAUAUGAUCUGGGGACACAGAAAUAGUAAUAAAAAGCACACAGUUAUUCAGAUCUGGAAUGAAGGGAUACUUUUCAGAGGGGAGACCAGCCAUUCUCAAGAAUAAGAACCUCAAGUUCUCUUUCAUUGGUCAAGAAAAAAUCUGUAUUCCCAGUGUCUAAGCACGAUGCUUAGCAUGCAGAAGUCCCUUAAUAAAAGCUUUUUUAUUGACUGAUUAAA